UUUAUACUCACGAUCUUGUAUCCACUGACUGUCUUGUUAGAUUAAUCCAAUAAAUUUCAUUCACUCCGCAUACUCAAUCCUAUAGACACCCUUUUAACUCUUCAUCACAAACGUAACUCGAUUUCACAAAACAGUCAAGAGUAAUCAAACCCACUUCAUUAAAAAUCUCGAUUCACCAUUACAACACUGACUUCAGCAACGAUUGCCUUAGUCUUCCCAAAACCCUAUGAAG
rnacentral:lncRNA from 1 species